ensembl:snoRNA
GGUGCAGAUGAUGACACUGUUAAGCGACCAAAGUCUGACAAAAAUGAUUUGCAUUCUUAUUGUCUGAUGCACC